GAUGAACGCUGGCGGCGUGCCUAAUACAUGCAAGUCGAGCGAACGGACGAGAAGCUUGCUUCUCUGAUGUUAGCGGCGGACGGGUGAGUAACACGUGGAUAACCUACCUAUAAGACUGGGAUAACUUCGGGAAACCGUAGCUAAUACCGGAUAAUAUUUUGAACCGCAUGGUUCAAAAGUGAAAGACGGUCUUGCUGUCACUUAUAGAUGGAUCCGCGCUGCAUUAGCUAGUUCGUAAGGUAACGGCUUACCAAGGCAACGAUGCAUAGCCGACCUGAGAGGGUGAUCGGCCACACUGGAACUGAGACACGGUCCAGACUCCUACGAGAGGCAGCAGUAGGGAAUCUUCCGCAAUGGGCGAAAGCCUGACGGAGCAACGCCGCGUGAGUGAUGAAGGUCUUCGGAUCGUAAAACUCUGUUAUUAGGGAAGAACAUAUGUGUAAGUAACUGUGCACAUCUUGACGGUACCUAAUCAGAAAGCCACGGCUAACUACGUG
rnacentral:rRNA from 1 species